GCCCGGGUGGCGAAAUUGGUCAUACGCGCAAGACUUAAAAUCUUGUUUCCGUUCAUUCGGAAGUGUGAGUUCGACUCUCACCCCGGGCACCA
rnacentral:tRNA from 1 species